UAACACAUGCAAGUCGAGCGGUAACAGGGGGUGCUUGCACCCCGCUGACGAGCGGCGGACGGGUGAGUAAUGCUUAGGAAUCUGCCCAGUAGUGGGGGAUAGCCCGGGGAAACCCGGAUUAAUACCGCAUACGCCCUACGGGGGAAAGCAGGGGAUCUUCGGACCUUGCGCUAUUGGAUGAGCCUAAGUCGGAUUAGCUAGUUGGUGGGGUAAGAGCCUACCAAGGCGACGAUCCGUAGCUGGUCUGAGAGGAUGAUCAGCCACAUCGGGACUGAGACACGGCCCGAACUCCUACGGGAGGCAGCAGUGGGGAAUAUUGGACAAUGGGGGCAACCCUGAUCCAGCCAUGCCGCGUGUGUGAAGAAGGCUUUCGGGUUGUAAAGCACUUUCAGUGAGGAGGAAAAGUGAGUCGUUAAUAUCGGCUAGCCUUGACGUUACUCACAGAAGAAGCACCGGCUAACUCCGUGCCAGCAGCCGCGGUAAUACGGAGGGUGCAAGCGUUAAUCGGAAUUACUGGGCGUAAAGCGCGCGUAGGUGGUUUGAUAAGCGAGAUGUGAAAGCCCCGGGCUUAACCUGGGAACGGCAUUUCGAACUGUCAGGCUAGAGUGUGGUAGA
rnacentral:rRNA from 1 species